rnacentral:lncRNA from 1 species
ACUGGUGUUUACCAGACAGGCGAGUAAGACAGUGUGACUGGUAUGUACUGUACUGGUGAGUUAGACAGUGUGCCUGGUGUGUACCAGACAGGUGAGUUAGACAGUAUGACUGGUGUGUACCAGACAGGCGAGUAAGACAGUGUGACUGGUGUGUACUGGACAGGGGAGUUAGACAGUGUGACAGGUGUGUACUGGACAGGUGAGUUAGCCAGUGUGAUGUGUGUGUACUGGACAGGUGAGUUAGACAGUGUGACUGGUAUGUACUGGACAGGUGAGUAAGACAGUGUGACUGGUGUGUACUGGACAGGUGAGUUAGACAGUGUGACAGGUGUGUACUGGACAGGUGAGUUAGACAGUGUGACUGGUCUGUACUGGACAGGUGAGUAAGACAGUGUGACUGGGGUGUACUGGACAGGUGAGUUAGACAGUGUGAUGUGUGUGUACUGGACAGGUGAGUUACACAGUGUGACUGGUGUGUACUGGACAGGUGAGUAAGACAGUGUGACUUGUGUGUACUGGACAGGUGAGUUAGACAGUGUGACUGGUAUGUACUGGACAGGUGAGUAAGACAGUGUGACUGGUGUGUACUGGACAGGCGAGUUAGACAGUGUGACUGGUAUGUACUGGACAGGUGAGUAAGACAGUGUGACUGGUGUGUACUGUACAGGUGAGUUAGACAGUGUGACUGGUGUGUACUUGACAAGUGAGUUAGACAGUAUGACUGGUGUGUACUGGACAGGUGAAUUAAACAGUGUGACUGGUGUGUACUGGACAGGUGUGUUACACAGUGUGACUGGUGUGUACUGGACAGGCGAGUUAGACAGUGUGACUGGUAUGUACUGGACAGGUGAGUUAGACAGUGUGACUGGUCUGUACUGGACAGGUGAGUAAGACAGUGUGACUUGUGUGUACUGGACAGGUGAGUUAGACAGUGUGACUGGUGUGUACUUGACAAGUGAGUUAGACAGUAUGACUGGUGUGUACUGGACAGGUGAGUUAAACAGUGUGACUGGUGUGUACUGGACAGGUGAGUUAGACAGUGUGACUGGUGUGUACUGGACAGGUGAGUUACACAGUGUGACUGGUGUGUACUGGACAGGUGAGUUUCACAGUGUGACUGG